CUCUGAGCUAAGGACAUCAACAAGGCUCCCUGGAGAGCAAGUGUCACCCAGCAGGGCUGGUGGCAGGGGACAGCCUGCAAGGGAGCACAAGAAACGCAUGCACUGCACCCACGGACAGGCUUAUAGAAGCACUGCAGCUUGGUUUGUUGAACCAAGGAUUUGAGUUUAUUCCUAGCCUGGAUCAAGAAAGGAAUUUAGCCUUGAUUAGAGGUGUGGUUUAGCUAACUUUACAAGAGGGUUUCUUGUGGAAGAACAGCUGAAACAGUGGACAGGUCAUGCGGAAGGAUGCUAUGCUGUGGGAAGAGACGCCAGGAGAGAUAUUUCUGAGCUAAAGGCAAAUGAGUUGUGUUAUGAGGAAACAGUGAAGGUGAAGAGCUGGUGAGGGGAAAACAGCAAGAAGAGAGACAGCAAGCACAUGGAAGCACUGCCUCCUCUUUGGAUUUCACACCCUGGAUUAUGCUAUCUCCUGAGCUCAGAAUUGGUGAUAAACUUGCGAAAACUUUGCCUGGAAACCAUAGGAAGAGCAAGAGGAUCUUGGCCAGGGAUGGCACCACUGCAAGGAGCCUUCUGAGCUGCCCUGAGCAGAGCUGUGCUCCUCUGGACGCAAUGCGAGCAGAGCAGUGACCUUUCCUCUGCAACCUGGAACAGAUGAGUUUGAGAUUGUUCACAGAGGGUUCAGGGGCACAGGGGAGAAAGGAUAUUUCAUUACCAUUGCCAAGAAAAUCUUUCAAUAAAUGAGAAAUUGCUAUUUGUUUUGUAUUGGACCAGACUGCAUCCAGAUUGCUCCUCUGUUGGAGCCUGGUUGUAUUUCGUUCCGUUUGUGUAACAAUUCUGGCCCUAACUUAAAGGGGUGGGUUUGCAUUUUGAGUGAUUGCCUGGUAAGUGGUAGAAUGGGACCCCUCAGCACAUCCCAUGCAGUACAUGUAGCGUGUACCACUGGGCUGUUUUCAAGGGGGUGGAGUUGUGGGAUAGGGAAAGCACUACAUUUUUCAUGAUACUUAAUACAUUGUGACUCAAAGACCAUUGGGGUCUCAUUUUGGCUUCAGUUCUGCAUUCAACCCAUUACUGACUUCUUACCCUUUCUCUAGAAGUCCUACUGGGUGACACCAUUUUGCACAAAGCAGACAGCUCCGUGAUGUGGCUUAGACUCGCACUACGGGUGGGCGUGCUUAAGUUAGAAUUGAAUAAAAUAUAUCCUAAAUGUGGAGCCAAUAGCUUAUUGUUUAGCUUAUUGUUGCUGAGGAUGCUCCACGUGGGUCCCUUCUGCUUCUGUCACACAGCUAAGAGAAACAAUCAUCUUCUUGGUCCCCAGAGCUGCUGCAAAGAUCUGUGAGCAGCAGCUGACCCCUCAAGAAAGCUGUCAGAGCCCUGUGGGCACCAGCAAGGGCAUCAGGAAUUUUAUUGGCCCUUAGGGCCUCCCUACUCUGCAUGAAGUCAAGGGAUGAAGGCCAGGACAAAAGCCAACUCCUUGCUGUCAUCCUGUUUUGGAGGAUCAAAGGCAGGAGGCAUCCAGGACACAGAGCUUUGCACAGUGGAGCAAAGGAUGGUUUGGGAGCACAUGCCCUGUAUGGCACAGCUGAUAGGUAGGUGCUCAACUGGUGCUUGAACAUAUUUCUCCUUCCCAGGUUCUUCAAGGAUCUCUAUGAAUGGAUAAUGGGGAAGGUAGCUGACAGAAACUGUAGCAGAGACAUGAAAGCAAUCACAGGAAACACUCUCCACUCCCUGCUCCUCGCUACCUGCACGCCUGUGCCCCACCAGCCACUUUUUCACUCCUUUUAAUCUUCCCAGCAGAAUCAGUCAGAUCCUGCAGAUUAUGGCCAAUGACCCCUCGUGUCUGCCAUGGUGCAUGAAAUGCAGCCAAGAAGCCAGGGACUGUGUGUGACACAAAGAGAACGGCAUGUUGGAGAAUAGGAGAUCUCUGUAAAAUCACACACUGCACAGCAUCCAUACCCGGCCGCUCCAGAUCUGCCCUGGGGGGCAGCCUGUAUCCGUGGAUUCAUCCUUCCAGAACACAGCAAGGGAGAGGUGGUAGUGGUGCAGUAAAAGAAGAAAAUAGAUGGAUGAGUUAAUGGUAAUGACAGCCCAACUGGAGCUCGUUAGAAACCAGGACAAUGCAGGAUAAGCUGUUGCUAACACAUUUGUCAGUAAACUGAAAACCACAUUCAUUUAAAAAGGAUGAAUGCACAUAAAUGCAGGCAAGCAGGACUCAGAAAGGAGCUCUGUAAACUGCACUCUCAGAAACUCGUCUAUAUUAUGAAACCCCUAUACACUAAGAAAACCCUCUGCAUUAAAGACUGCAUUGACACUUUAAUCCAUUUAUUCAGUACAGAUCCCAACCACUUGCUUCUGGAAAGAACACAGUCCCUAAAAAGGCAUUCAGCCCUACUCUGACCAUACACUGCUGCUCUGUUUGCAGUACAGGUGAUGAAACAAGGUGUUGGGAUGUGACCAAAGGUAGGGCUGGCAGCUUCACCUUCUGCAUUAGAGUGAAAGCUCAGUCCCUCACACUGUAGACCCUAUUUUCAACUGCAUACAACGUUGCCAAACUAUAACCAUUUGGAAUGAAAAUUUUAAUGCCAGGUAUCUGCCUCAGGCUGAAGCUUUUGGAGAAUGUCCACAAACUCAGCCGUUUCCAAUAAUGAAGGUAAGGAAAAAUUCAUUGUUUUGUCCAAGUCAAAAAAACAAUUGUGACCUUUUCUUUGAAAAGCCUUGGCACCCCUCUUCCUUGGAGCAGAAACUUGUUAGGGGGAUGCCUUUUAUCAGAGACAUCCCUUUUUGCCCUUCUGAAAAUCUGCUUAAAUUUGGCUACGUUUUAUGUCUUUGGAAAGCUGAAUUUGCACAUGCUUGAUAGACAACUACGAGAUUCCUUUCAUUUUAGCAACUGAACCUCUGAAGUUUUCAUCCUCCCCGAGCAGGUUUCAACCUAAGUUCAAUCAGGUCUUUCCAUGCAAUUUCUGCCAUAGAUUUCCACAGCGUGCAACAGGGCCAGGCAUCUGAAAUGAGAGCCAGGAGUCUGUCUCUUUUGCAUUCCCAGUGAUAUUCAUUGGGGUGAGACAAUGUGAAGACUAUUCCUGUAUUCCAAAACAGAAAGGACAAGAGCCAGACAAGUGGGUGGUGAUGAGGGAGGGGAAGACUCAGAAACCCUCUUUAAAAGAGAGGCAUAAGGAGCAGGGACUCCGGGAUGGCACAUAAAAGGGGAGCAACAGGAAGGAGUAAAGUGGUGGGAGGAGGCUGAGGAACGUGGUGAUUUUGGAUGAUGGGUGAAAUGAAGCAGGAGGAAAAAGGAAGGGUUUGGAGAAUCAUAGGGUCACAGAAUGGCUUGGGUUGGAAGGGACCUUAAAGAUCAUCUACUUCCAGCCGCCCUGCCACCUCUCACUAGAUCAGGUUGCCCAAAGCCCCAUUCAACCUUGCCUUCACCUGAGAACUUUGUUCCGUGGAAUAUGUCAUGGUGCCCUGGGUCAGCAUUUAAAUGUGUACACCACAUUUAAUAUAUGCAAAAUGAAUGACCUCAGCCCGUACACCUAAAUCAAUUUGUAGCUUCUACAUUAAUCUUAAUGGCUACUCUGUAAAAAUGUCACCUCUGAACAAUGUUGUAAAAACGAAUUAAAUGCUAUUUGUAUGUGAGAGCUUGGCCAUAAGAACAGAGUGCCAUGAAGAAAAAGCACACUGGAUAACCACUAACUCUUGGCUUAGUUUGAAUAGUGGGACAUAAUUUAAAAAGUACUUUUAUUGUUGAGGAGAGAGUUAAAAUUGCAUGGAUAACUUUAAUUCCGGUAUUUCCUUACCUGCCUCCUGUUAAGAUGUCAAAGUCAGGUGUUAUGCUUGAAAUAUUAUAUUUUUGUUAUUGUCUGAUUUUGUUGGCACUGCUGGCAUUAUCCAUAGGAACUGACUUGGACUUCUCACAUCCCAGCCAGCCAGCCGGAUCCUGGGCCGCAUCCAAAGCAUUUGCAGGGAGGGGAUCCUGCCCCUCUGCUCUGCGCUGGGACACCUCACCUGGAGCACCGCGUCCACAGGUGGAGUGCUCAGCGCAGGAGAGACGGGGGCCUGUUGGAGUGCGUCCAGAGGAGGGCCACAGAAAUGAUCAGGGAUGGAGCAGCUCCCUACGAGGACAGGCUGAGAGAGCUGGGCUGUGCAGCCUGGAGAGGAGAAGGCUGCGGGAGACCUGAGAGCGGCCUGUUGUAUCUAAAGGGGGGCUGUAAGAAAGACAGGGACAGACUCUUCAGCAGAGUCUGUUGUGACAGGACAAGGGGAAAUGGCUUCAAAC
ensembl:lncRNA